UCAACUUGAACAAAGCCUCACUAGAGAAAAGGGCUCAGCAAGACCUGCAGAAUUGUGAGGUGUCGGCUAAUAGUGGAGUCACCAGAUGGCUUGGCUACACUCCAGUCAAAUAGUGCUGUGGGCACUCAUGAUCAAGAGCCUCUCUAGCCGCCUGCCCAAGAUUGAUUGACCAUGGAGAUGACUGAGGAAGACAG